UAGUGCAGGGAUUUGUUGAUUUUGUGUGAAUUUCCAUGAUAAUUCACAAGAAACUGGAGGAACUCAUUGAUACAAUUUGGCAGUAAACAGAUAAAAACUGUAUUGAUUUGAUUAACAACAUAAUAUCUAAACACAGUUAGUGUUUAGUCAAAGAUUAAGGGGGGCACAUAACAAGCUAUGGCGGGUCGGAUUUGGCCCACGUGCCUUCAGUUUGACACACGUGAUUUAGACUGUUCACCACUGUUCCAUGUUUUGAGUCUCAAAGCCUUUAAAAAUUUACUUAGCAAUCCUUUUGUAAGGUUACUUUUCAAUCUAUUUUUAUAUUUUAUGACCACAGCGUGAUGUGUUGCUAUUUCAAAUUUCUGUAAUCCACUUCCUGUUGUCAAACUGGUUCUAUUUAACCCUUCUAGGCUGAACGUGUCAGCGAUGAUCCAGUCAAAUUUGCAGUACCGUAAUUCCAUCACACUUUGCGCCAUCUGAAAAAUAUCAACGGUUUCUGAAAGGGGAGACGUUGCGUUUCCAGCCAAUAUCGGGUUAUUACGGUAAUUUCACUCCCACCCUAGCAGGGAGUGAAAUUAAUAUGAUGAAACACUUUUAUUAGAUGGUAAAUUACGGAAAAUAACGGCUAGAUAUUGAAGGUUCCAGUUUAUGGAAAAAUGGGCAAAUAUAUUUACUCACAGGACAUUUAAAGAACUGCAUACAAUUAAAAUAAACUAAAAUAUCCAGGCGGACUCAAAGGUUUAAGCAGCUUUUUAUUCUACAGGUCUCCUUUUCUACACAGUAGCAAAGCUGGUUUAGACAACAUUUACUUCCUUCAAGUCGUCAUUUGAGGGAAAAUAUCUGAUAUAAAAAUGUAAACUGUACAUUUAAAACAUAACUUUUGUGUUUAGAUUAAAUAAGUCAAGAAAUGGUCACUUGUAAAUAUCGGCUGAGUAGAAACUAGUUACAAUUAUUUGAGUAACAUUUUGGAUAAGAUGCAUUUUUAAGAGUAUCUUUACUAAGCUGAACUUUUUACUUUUUAAAAAAAAGUAAAAAUGCAUUUAUUUGGAAAGCAAAUUUGGAAAGCAAAAUUUCCACAUAAGCUUACAUUUUGGUCCAUUUGAUUAUGUAACUUUUAAAUUUUAAGUUAAUACUGUUUAGAUCAAGUAAUUAUUUUUUACUCUUGAAUAUUUCUACUAAAAAUAUGUUAAAGCAGUUCUACUCUUACUUGAGUGUAAUUUUUGCAUACUCUACCUCUGCCUGUAAAUAUAUUAGAGCAAAUAGUUUUUCCAAAAUGACACAACAUGAACCGGUGAUUAAUUACACCCUGUCUGACAAAAUGUUGCUGAUGUGAAUCAAAACAUUAACCUAAGCUUGCACAGCACUCAUUCUGAGAAGGAACGCUGAAGGAAGGCUGCGAUCACAAGCCGGGACCUGUUGGACUGCGCUCAGUCCCGGCCGGUACCUGACUCUGAAUGAGUGAGUGAGACGGCCCACGCUUUAUCCACUGUUAACAUCGUAGUUAAUCAUCAGAUGGCGGCAUUCCUCCUUCUUGACUCAAGCUCCAACACAAAGCUCCCGCUUGUCCACGUCGGCUUGUUUUGCUAUUUUUCAGACGUUACUCAGAGCUCAGCUAGCUCAGGAAUAGUCAUUGUCAGGAGCUGUAAAAAUGUGAGGGUCUUUUCUCCUGCGGGGACGCAGGGCGAUGUGCUGCCCUCCGCUGAUGAGGACGACUUAAGUAAACAUGAGAUAGUCAUACACAAACAGCGCGGUGGCAACAUUCACCCUCUGAUUAUCUGUCAGAUUUGACCGAGUGAGCUCAUUCCUGCUGUAUGUUCGUCAAUGUACAUCUCAUUGAAUUCAGAACAAUCCAACAGCAGCAGACCGUUAAACAAUGCAGAGAGGAUGAUGUUAUCGAGCUGAGGAGAGAUGCUGGAAAAAUUUCAGUGUGCACGUCGUAGAUGUGAUAUCUCUGUUUGUGCUACAGACGCACAGCAGCUCUACAGCCAACGCUUUUAUUCACAGCAGAAUCCAGACUCAGUUUCAGAUGAAGAUCCAAAUUUAAAGAAUAUAAACAACAAAGGAGUGAAAAAUAUAUUUACUGUGGUCAGGCCGAAAUAUGGACACUGAAAACGGAUGGAUGGAUGGAUGGAUGGAUGGAUGGACAAACAGAUGGAUGGAUAAACUGACAGACUGUGCUGAAAGCCAGCAAAUCUGCAAAUUAAUCAUUUCAACAGAUAAUUGAUAUUUUCUAUAGUUGUUUUUUGCUUUUCUUCCACUUUCUGACCCGACAUCUUGCUCCCAAUAAAAUACAUCUAGAGACUAAUAUUGCCAAUACUUAGUUUUACUCCAUCUUUAGUUUGGCACAUCAGAAAAAUUAAUCACGUGGACAAGACUGAGUCCAAAAUAUCGGGAAAAGAUGACGCCGGCCUUGUGUGUCUAACCAAAGGAGAAAAUAAACGUUGAAUUUCACAUAACGGUUUACGUUUCAAAUCCUCCUCACAAAUCGAAUGUCUCUCUCCUGUCUGCCACCUAACACUGAUCUCUGUCUGCCUUGUGUUCAGUGACAGUCAUGACUAAUGGGUUGCACGUGAACUUAAAGGUAUUUUCCAUAAUGUGUCUUCCUGGUAUCUCUGCAUCCCUGAUAAAGGUCACAGAAGCAGAUUCUCCACCUUCUUUACAGCAGCUGUAACCACGUCAGAACUGAAUUUUACUGAUUAUUACUGUAUCAUCUCACCUGUGUAGCUGGUUGAAAAGGAGUUUCUACGUGCUUGGAGCACCCCUCAGAUGAAGGCAUAUAGAUUGUGCAAUCUGACUGAGAAAAAGAGGAAUUUCCCUCUAUUUUGAGGAACAUUUUUAUCAUACCAACCUCUGAGAGGCCCUGGAAAGAAACGCACACCCAAACAGAUUAACUGAAGGUAGGGUUACACCUUGAGAUUACCGUCUGUGCCUAGUCAUGUCACGCUCAUUAAGUUUCCAUUGUCUAUCUAGAUGCACACACAUCCACUCAAUCUUCAUGUUUUUGUUAAUUCACACGCUGUUAUCCAAACUCACAGUCCCAUCAGGAAGCGCAUGUGUUGGGGCUUUGCCGCCAACCAAGGCUUGAUCUGUUACAUAUUACCACACUGUGUACUACAACACAGACGUCGUCUUGUGUGCCUGUUAGGUAUACAGAGGUGAAAUUUUUAUGAUUUUAUGGAUACUGUAGUCAGCUCGGUUUUAAGAUAAAGUUUAUCUUAUCUUCGCAGCGGUGGAUGGUCGAUCUGAAUAACUGUCUGGUUUGAUUUUGAAGAUAAAUUUGACAUCGUUCAAAAGAAGGCAUUGAUGCUGUGGUUCAUUACCUACAAGCAAUCACAUGGCAUUAACUAGGUGCAUUUAAGCUUGGAGAUGUAGUAGAUGGAGUUCAAACUGAACAGAAUGGGUAAGAGAAGAUUUUAAGGGGCUUUGAGCGUGGCGUUGUUGCUGGUGUUUCAGAAACCGCUGAUUCAGUCAUUUCCGUAAACCUCACAGGUUUGGUCAAACAAUGGUCAAAAAAGAGAAAUUAUCCAUAUAUGUGGAGAGAAAUGUGUUGUUGAAGUCAAAGGUCAAAUGGAUGGGAAUGUCUUGAACCUUGAAGCAGAUGGGAAGUUAAAGACCUCAACAGCCUAAGAUCCUUGAAUUUCUUAACUUGAGAUAUAAAGUCAUCCACAACUCGGAAAACCAUGAGAGUGGCUGACUCUCAUGCAGGUUGCUUCACAAUUAGUGAAUGCAGAGAAACAUGGCUUGAAGACAACAACAAGGUAAUAUAGUCAAUUUGAGACGUUGACGUUCCCAAAAUAUGUAACCUUCUCUCCAUGAACACUGCAGAAACAAGAGGCAUCCCUGGAGGAGUGCAAGACCAAACCUAGCUCCUCUGCUUUUAGAGCAUUUGGACAUAUUUUGGUCUGGUUACACAGAAAUUACACAGACCACUAAAAAAUUACUACAGCGCCCCAAUACUUUGGUAAAGCCUUCUCAAGAUCUGCGAAGCAUAUGUGGACUGGACAAUCAAAUCUCUAUGAUCCAUCAAAAACCUGAUUACUGUUCAUUUUAAGGUUUGACAGGCAUCAACUAAGUGCUACCAUUGCAAGUUUUCCCCCAGAGAACUUGAGAACCUGGUGGUUGUGGCGCUCGGCAGUCAUUCAUCCAGCAGCCCGUCCUGUUUUUGAGUUAAAAUUUUUUAAAAGUUGACAGGGAAUUUUAAAAUAUCACUUGAUAAUUAUGUGCUAUAGAAAGAUUGGAAGAAUAACACCUGAACAUCAAUUAUAAAGUUUUAAAAAUGCAAA